rnacentral:rRNA from 1 species
GAUGAACGCUAGCGGCAGGCCUACUACAUGCAAGUCGAACGAUAGUGAGAAGCUUGCUUCUCACGAAAGUGGCGCACGGGUGCGUAACGCGUAUGAGACCUACCUUGAUCAGGGGGAUAGCCCGCAGAAAUUCGGAGUAACACCGCAUAAACACAAAGUAUAGCAUUAUAAAAUGAGUAAAUAUUUAUAGGAAUAAGAUGGGCAUGCGUGACAUUAGUUAGUUGGGGGGGUAACGGCCCACCAAGACCACGAUGUCUAGGGGAUCUGAGAGGAUGACCCCCCACACUGGUACUGAGACACGGACCAGACUCCUACGGGAGGCAGCAGUAAGGAAUAUUGGUCAAUGGAGGCAACUCUGAACCAGCCAUGCCGCGUGCAGGAAGACAGCCCUCUGGGUCGUAAACUGCUUUUAUUCGGGAAUAAACCUAUCUACGUGUAGAUAGCUGAAUGUACCGAAGGAAUAAGGAUCGGCUAACUCCGUGCCAGCCGCCGCUGUAA